CGCGCGGUUCUAUUUGUUGGUUUAUAGGACCGCCGUAAUGAUUAAUAGGGACAGUCGGGGGCGAUCAGUAUUCAACUGUCAGAGGUGAAAUUCUUGGAUCAGUUGAAGACUAACUACUGCGAAAGCAUUUGCCAAGGAUGUUUUCAUUAAUCAGGAACGAAAGUUAGGGGAUCGAAGACGAUCAGAUACCGUCGUAGUCUUAACCAUAAACUAUGCCGACUAGGGAUCGGACGGUGUUAUUCAUGACCCGUUCGGCACCUUACGAGAAAUCAAAGUGCUUGGGCUCCAGGGGGAGUAUGGUCGCAAGGCUGAAACUUAAAGGAAUUGACGGAAGGGCACCACCAGGAGUGGAGCCUGCGGCUUAAUUUGACUCAACACGG
rnacentral:rRNA from 1 species